rnacentral:rRNA from 1 species
CGAACGCUGGCGGCGUGCCUAAUACAUGCAAGUCGAACGCUUCUUUUCCCACCGGAGCUUGCUCCACCGGGAAAAGAGGAGUGGCGAACGGGUGAGUAACACGUGGGUAACCUGCCCAUCAGAAGGGGAUAACACUUGGAAACAGGUGCUAAUACCGUAUAACAAUCGAAACCGCAUGGUUUCGUUUUGAAAGGCGCUUUACGGUGCCGCUGAUGGAUGGACCCGCGGUGCAUUAGCUAGUUGGUGAGGUAACGGCUCACCAAGGCCACGAUGCAUAGCCGACCUGAGAGGGUGAUCGGCCACAUUGGGACUGAGACACGGCCCAAACUCCUACGGGAGGCAGCAGUAGGGAAUCUUCGGCAAUGGACGAAAGUCUGACCGAGCAACGCCGCGUGAGUGAAGAAGGUUUUCGGAUCGUAAAACUCUGUUGUUAGAGAAGAACAAGGGUGAGAGUAACUGUUCACCCCUUGACGGUAUCUAACCAGAAAGCCACGGCUAACUACGUGCCAGCAGCCGCGGUAAUACGUAGGUGGCAAGCGUUGUCCGGAUUUAUUGGGCGUAAAGCGAGCGCAGGCGGUUUCUUAAGUCUGAUGUGAAAGCCCCCGGCUCAACCGGGGAGGGUCAUUGGAAACUGGGAGACUUGAGUGCAGAAGAGGAGAGUGGAAUUCCAUGUGUAGCGGUGAAAUGCGUAGAUAUAUGGAGGAACACCAGUGGCGAAGGCGGCUCUCUGGUCUGUAACUGACGCUGAGGCUCGAAAGCGUGGGGAGCAAACAGGAUUAGAUACCCUGGUAGUCCACGCCGUAAACGAUGAGUGCUAAGUGUUGGAGGGUUUCCGCCCUUCAGUGCUGCAGCUAACGCAUUAAGCACUCCGCCUGGGGAGUACGACCGCAAGGUUGAAACUCAAAGGAAUUGACGGGGGCCCGCACAAGCGGUGGAGCAUGUGGUUUAAUUCGAAGCAACGCGAAGAACCUUACCAGGUCUUGACAUCCUUUGACCACUCUAGAGAUAGAGCUUCCCCUUCGGGGGCAAAGUGACAGGUGGUGCAUGGUUGUCGUCAGCUCGUGUCGUGAGAUGUUGGGUUAAGUCCCGCAACGAGCGCAACCCUUAUUGUUAGUUGCCAUCAUUUAGUUGGGCACUCUAGCAAGACUGCCGGUGACAAACCGGAGGAAGGUGGGGAUGACGUCAAAUCAUCAUGCCCCUUAUGACCUGGGCUACACACGUGCUACAAUGGGAAGUACAACGAGUCGCGAAGUCGCGAGGCUAAGCUAAUCUCUUAAAGCUUCUCUCAGUUCGGAUUGUAGGCUGCAACUCGCCUACAUGAAGCCGGAAUCGCUAGUAAUCGCGGAUCAGCACGCCGCGGUGAAUACGUUCCCGGGCCUUGUACACACCGCCCGUCACACCACGAGAGUUUGUAACACCCGAAG